ensembl:lncRNA
CCUGCGAAGCCCCCUUGAGACUGUAACUGUGAUGAAGGGCAAUACAAACCCUUUGUACGUUUCUCGUCCGUGAUUGAUGAUCCAGGGCGAGGGGGGUAAAGAAGGAAAAACGGGAGCUGCAGGCCCCCGCGGAGACCCCGGUCUCAGCGGGCCCCCAGGACCCACAGGAAAGGGCAAAGACGGCCCAGAUGGGGAGCCCGGGCAGCCCGGCGUCCAAGGACCUCCAGGGCCGCAGGUAAUGCCCCAUCACAGUCCCCUGUGUGUGUUAGUGUGUGUGUGUGUGUGUGUGUGUAGGUGUUUGUGUGAGCGUGUGUGUGUGUGUGUGUGUGUGUGUGUGUGUGUGUGUGUGUGUGUGUGUGUGUGUGUGUGUGUGUGUGUGUGUGUGUGUGAGCGUCUGUGUGUAGGUGUGUGUUUGUGUUUGUGUGAGCGUGUGUUUGUGUUUGUCAGCGAGCGUCUGUGUGUAGGUUUGUUUGUGAGCGUGUGUGUCUACGUGUGUGUGUGUGUGUGUGUGUGUGUGUGUGUGUGUGUGUGUGUGUGUGUAUGUGCGCAUCUGUGUGUGUGUUUUCCCCAAUGUGAGAAAGCUUUGGGGUCCUGCCUCAAGGUGACUUGUGGAGGUAGCAUACAGAGCUGCUUUCUUUGUCACCCCCAAAUAAAUAACCAAACACACACAUUUAUUCCCGGCCGGGAUGGAGGAAACAAUUCAUUUCCUCUCAGAAAGAAACUAAAGCAAUUUCUUGAGCCGUCAUACUUUGACCAGUGCAGUGAUUAUGACCUGCUCUGGCCAGGAGAGCGAGGGCAGUGGAAGGGAAAGGCCAGACAAGGGGCAUUCGCUGGAUUUAUGGCGCUAAAUGGUUCACCCACAUCGCCUCCAUAUUUCCUCCCUUACUGAGUACCGAAAUGUCAACGACAGAUUGGAUUUUUUUUCUCUCCUUCCCUUUCUAUAUAUUUAUCAUAAAUGAUCAAUAAAGUGUUGUUUCUGGGCUCAGCCACCAUAGAAUUAGACCCGCACCACCACAGCCCAGAGAGGGGCGCUCCAGGCAAGGGCUGUGAUGGAUAGCAGCCUUUCCUCAGACUGUAUUCUGGUAGGUGUUCAUCUGUACGUGUCUCCCCCUGCGUCUCAGGGCCAGACCGGACCCUCAGGACCCCAGGGUGGGCCCGGACUGAGGGGCGUCCCCGGGGAAGGGAAGGUCGGAGUCCAGGUAGGGAUGGGCUUACUGUCAUGCUCCCUCUACCUUCUCUGAGCUGUCGUCCUCUGUGGUGACUGG